rnacentral:rRNA from 1 species
GGCUCAGGAUGAACGCUGGCGGCGUGCCUAAUACAUGCAAGUCGAACGCUUCACAUCGGUGAAGAGUGGCGAACGGGUGAGUAAUACAUAAGUAACCUGGCAUCUACAGGGGGAUAACUGAUGGAAACGUCAGCUAAGACCGCAUAGGUGUAGAGAUCGCAUGAACUCUAUAUGAAAAGUGCUACGGGACUGGUAGAUGAUGGACUUAUGGCGCAUUAGCUUGUUGGUAGGGUAACGGCCUACCAAGGCGACGAUGCGUAGCCGACCUGAGAGGGUGACCGGCCACACUGGGACUGAGACACGGCCCAGACUCCUACGGGAGGCAGCAGUAGGGAAUUUUCGGCAAUGGGGGAAACCCUGACCGAGCAACGCCGCGUGAAGGAAGAAGUAAUUCGUUAUGUAAACUUCUGUCAUAGAGGAAGAACGGUGGAUAUAGGGAAUGAUAUCCAAGUGACGGUACUCUAUAAGAAAGCCACGGCUAACUACGUGCCAGCAGCCGCGGUAAUACGUAGGUGGCGAGCGUUAUCCGGAAUUAUUGGGCGUAAAGAGGGAGCAGGCGGCACUAAGGGUCUGUGGUGAAAGAUCGAAGCUUAACUUCGGUAAGCCAUGGAAACCGUAGAGCUAGAGUGUGUGAGAGGAUCGUGGAAUUCCAUGUGUAGCGGUGAAAUGCGUAGAUAUAUGGAGGAACACCAGUGGCGAAGGCGACGAUCUGGCGCAUAACUGACGCUCAGUCCCGAAAGCGUGGGGAGCAAAUAGGAUUAGAUACCCUAGUAGUCCACGCCGUAAACGAUGAGUACUAAGUGUUGGGGGUCAAACCUCAGUGCUGCAGUUAACGCAAUAAGUACUCCGCCUGAGUAGUACGUUCGCAAGAAUGAAACUCAAAGGAA